rnacentral:rRNA from 1 species
GUGGGGAAUUUUGGACAAUGGGGGCAACCCUGAUCCAGCAAUGCCGCGUGCAGGAAGAAGGCCUUCGGGUUGUAAACUGCUUUUGUACGGAACGAAACGGUCCUGGUUAAUACCUGGGGCUAAUGACGGUACCGUAAGAAUAAGCACCGGCUAACUACGUGCCAGCAGCCGCGGUAAUACGUAGGGUGCAAGCGUUAAUCGGAAUUACUGGGCGUAAAGCGUGCGCAGGCGGUUUUGUAAGACAGGCGUGAAAUCCCCGGGCUCAACCUGGGAAUUGCGCUUGUGACUGCAAGGCUGGAGUGCGGCAGAGGGGGAUGGAAUUCCGCGUGUAGCAGUGAAAUGCGUAGAUAUGCGGAGGAACACCGAUGGCGAAGGCAAUCCCCUGGGCCUGCACUGACGCUCAUGCACGAAAGCGUGGGGAGCAAACAGGAUUAGAUACCCCUGUAGUCC